UACGUAGGGUGCGAGCGUUGUCCGGAAUUAUUGGGCGUAAAGGGCUCGUAGGCGGUCUGUCACGUCGGGAGUGAAAACUCAGGGCUUAACCCUGAGCCUGCUUCCGAUACGGGCAGACUAGAGGUAUGCAGGGGAGAACGGAAUUCCUGGUGUAGCGGUGAAAUGCGCAGAUAUCAGGAGGAACACCGGUGGCGAAGGCGGUUCUCUGGGCAGUAACUGACGCUGAGGAGCGAAAGCGUGGGGAGCGAACAGG
rnacentral:rRNA from 1 species